UGGAAGGGCAUUUAGUGGAUGCCUUGGCGAUAAGAGGCGAUGAAGGACGUGGUACGCUGCGUUAAGCCAUGGGGAGCUGCGAACAAGCUUUGAUCCAUGGAUAUCCGAAUGGGGAAACCCGGCCCGCAAGGGUCAUCAUUAUCUGAAUACAUAGGGUAAUGAGGCGAACCUGGGGAACUGAAACAUCUAAGUACCCAGAGGAAAGGACAUCAAUUGAGACUUCCUUAGUAGUGGCGAGCGAACGGGAACCAGGCCAGUGGCUUUAGUGAGACAACCGGAACCGUUUGGAAAGACGGGCCAUAGUGGGUGACAGCCCCGUACGGGUAAUUCGAACUUUAGUCCUCGAGUAGGGCGGGACACGUGAAAUCCUGUCUGAACAUGGGGGGACCAUCCUCCAAGCCUAAGUACUCCUUAUCGACCGAUAGUGAACAAGUACCGUGAGGGAAAGGUGAAAAGCACCCCGACGAGGGGAGUGAAACAGUUCCUGAAACUGGAUGCCUACAAACAGUUGGAGCCCAAGGUUCGUCCUGGGUGACAGCGUACCUUUUGUAUAAUGGGUCAGCGAGUUAAUUUUGCGAGCAAGCUUAAGCCGUUAGGUGUAGGCGUAGCGAAAGCGAGUCUUAAUAGGGCGACUAAGUUUGUUGGAUUAGACCCGAAACCGAGUGAUCUAGGUAUGAGCAGGUUGAAGGUGCAGUAACAUGCACUGGAGGACCGAACCCACGCCUGUUGAAAAAGGCGGGGAUGACUUGUGCCUAGGGGUGAAAGGCCAAUCAAACUCGGAAAUAGCUGGUUCUCCGCGAAAUCUAUUUAGGUAGAGCGUUAGAUGAAUACCAUCGGGGGUAGAGCACUGGAUGGGCUAGGGGGUCUCACCGACUUACCAAACCUAACCAAACUCCGAAUACCGAUGAGUAAUAUCUGGCAGACACACUACGGGUGCUAAGGUCCGUAGUGGAAAGGGAAACAGCCCUGACCGCCAGCUAAGGUCCCUAAGUUAUGGCUAAGUGGGAAAGGAUGUGAGAGUGCAUAGACAACCAGGAUGUUGGCUUAGAAGCAGCCAUCAUUUAAAG
rnacentral:rRNA from 1 species